UUUUUUUUUUUUUUUUAAUUUCUGAACGAGUUUGCUUAUAUGAGUUUCUAUAUUACAAUCAUCACCAUUACAACCAAGCAUUCAAUAAGAACUCUCAUAUUACAAUCAAGCAUUCAUUAUUGAAUAUCAUCGUAAUGGCCAACCAGUCUUCAACUUAAAUGCACCUUGUUUUGAUCCAGGUUUGGCGAGUUAACCAGAGAGCAAAACAAAAUCAAUGAAAGACAUGUUUUCUUUUUUCUUUUUUUUUGGGGAUUUUCAACGGAAAAUAUUUCAUUGAACGAACUACAAUUAGAAAAAAAAAAGUCUAGACUAGGAUGGUGCGUUCAUCAACAGUAAACCACAUUCAUGACAAGUUUCUCAUGCCAAAAAGAGGAGAGAGAGAGAACAUUUUCACUACCCACCUAGAAAACUAGUAACACGACACCCUAUAAACACCCAAUAAGUAAUGACGUCAUGAGGCCACCCCAACAUCAACUGGGCCAUGACCACCCUGAACUGCUGAACCAUGGUUAUUAUAAGGGUGCCCACCACCACCCCUGCCACCCCUUCCUCGAUUAUUAUAGUAAUUCCUCGGAUAAUAGUUUCCAGACUGCUCAUAAUAUUGGCUGCGCCCAUUUUGGUAGCCACCACCUCCUCUGCCGCCGCCUCCUCUGCCACGGCCAUUUGAAAAACCUCUGCGUCCCCCGCCACCACCACUACGACUGCCUCUUUGGUUUUGGUAGUUCCUUCGAGCGAAAUGUUGCUGCUCCUUGGGGUCUACCUCUUUUUGAUUAUGGUCAAUUUCUGAAGAUCUAGCCUGUUCCUGUUCACCAUAGACCUCUUCUACUAUAAUUUCAGUCUCCAGUUCAUCCUUCUGAAGUUCCUCAUCAGGGCUGGACAGAUUAUCGCUAGUUUCAUGUCCUAAUAAUUUUGCUGUGUCCUCGUCCUUCGCUUCAUACUGCUCAACAGAGCCUUCCACUUGGACUGGCACAGAGAUAGGAACUCUAUGAACAGGAACCUGGAAAGACGCAUAAUUUCCAGCAGCAGCAGCUGCAGCCACUUCCACUGGAGCUUUCAUCUCUGGUGUGGUUGUGAAGUAAUCAGAAGCCAUAAUCUUGUUCAGCCUCUCCCUCAGUUGUGCAUAAGAAGCGUUAGCAUUGGGCUCAAUUGGCUGGUCGGAGUUAGCGAGCCACAACUUGGCGUGCUCGAUGCACCGAUGCAACGCAUUCUUAUGAGAUAAGCUAGAAUCGACGGGGCGCGAAAUCAGUAACCCGCCAAGCUUCGAAAUCAUGUCCAAAUCCUUCUCUCCAAGCAAAUCCGUAGCAUCAUCAGUCACAUAAUCGUAAGUCAAGCAGCAACCUCUCUCAUGUGUCCGAGUCAACAAGGUGGCGGUGAAGUCAUUCUGCGACUUCACAUCGAACAUCGUCCCAAAAUACAACAAAUUCAACAGAUCCUCGACCGCGUAACCACAGUCACCAGGAGUGCCUUUAUCGGACUCGCAGUUGCUUUUCUCGCUAUCAUCCUUAUCCGGAAUUGCAUUGUCGGAAAUGGAAGAUUGUUGCUGGUGACUUUGGAGGGCGAGGGCGAUUUCUUCAGAGACGGCUGUAGCGAGAGGCUGGCGAAGCUUCUCGAGCUCUUCAAUUGCGGCGUAGACGGAGGGUUUAGAACGCAGAACGUCCUCUUGUUCUUUGUUGAUGGGCUUGCCUUGGGAGAUGGACUCUUCCAUCUGGAGGAUUCGGUUGUACUUCUUGCGGAGAGCACGGAGGCGUUUGUUAAUAAAGCUGAGGACAGGUCCUUCUGUGACUUCUGAGGCAGCAGUGGCCGCCAUUUUUUAGGAGGUUUGGGCGGGUUUUGUAGAUGAUCGGGAAAACACCACCGGGUGGGCGGUGAUGGUGAGGGUUUUUGGGGUUUUGGAGCGGAGGUUAAUGACGGAGGGCAGAGGAAGCGGCGAGGUGAGAU
rnacentral:misc_RNA from 1 species